CUUCUUGAAAUAUUAUCAUCUUCUCUAAAAUUCUUUUCUGUUUUAGAUCUUCUGUCCUGCAUUUCAUUUUCAUAUCUUAUAGUUGAGAUGCACACAUGGACACUUCAGGAGGCUUAAAAUCAAAAUCAAAUUCCUCUUUUCUUCAAAAGAAACAGAGUCACUUCUAAUAUGACACUGGAGAAGAGUCUGUUCCACACCAACAUUCAAUCUACGAGCACUUUUGCUGUAGAUGGUAUCUGGAAAACAUGGAGGACUUUCUGAACAGAGUUCUUUUGAUCUCCUUGACUGCUUUCUAUAUUGUAAGUCUAAUCCUAUAUUUAAACAUUUUCCUACAUUUCAUCAAACACUCUGAUUUAAAUUUUCCUUAAUCUAGCUAGUCAUAUUAAUCUACUCCUUCACUCCAUAUUGUAAAGCAUGUCAUUUCCUUUUAAAAAUAAAUAAAAAUAAAAGUGGCUAAUGAAAAU
rnacentral:lncRNA from 1 species